UCGGCUCCAAGCGGAAAGCCUCCGAGGAGGUGGUGACAGUUACCGAGCUCUCGAUCAAGAAAAGGAGAUCCGACGUAGGAUUAACCAAUCCAGAACUCUUUGAGGAAAAUGGAAGGGAUUCUUUUGAUCAACCAGCUGUCAUCACUUCGGUGCAAGGCGGCGCAGAUCCUCCAACCGGGAAAGUUCCCCAGAAACAGAGCAGCAGGAGCAGGAAACGCCCUCGGAG